AUUGAACGCUGGCGGCAGGCCUAACACAUGCAAGUCGAACGAGUGGCGGACGGGUGAGUAAUGUCUGGGAAACUGCCUGAUGGAGGGGGAUAACUACUGGAAACGGUAGCUAAUACCGCAUACCAUCGGAUGUGCCCAGAUGGGAUUAGCUAGUAGGUGGGGUAAAGGCUCACCUAGGCGACGAUCCCUAGCUGGUCUGAGAGGAUGACCAGCCACACUGGAACUGAGCCACGGCCCAGACUCCGACGGGAGGCAGCAGGGGGGAAUAUUGCACAUGGGGGGCAAGCCUGAGGCAGCCAUGCCGCGUGUAUGAAGAAGGCCUUCGGGUUGGAAAGUACUUUCAGCGGGGAGGCGUUACCCGCAGAAGAAGCACCGGCUAAUCCCGUGCCAGCAGCCGCGGUAAUU
rnacentral:rRNA from 1 species